rnacentral:rRNA from 1 species
UACGGGGGGGGGCAAGCGUUGUUCGGAAUCACUGGGCGUAAAGGGCGUGUAGGCGGGAAGGAAAGUCAGAUGUGAAAUCCCCAGGCUCAACCUGGGAACUGCAUUUGAAACUCCCUUUCUUGAGUGCCGGAGAGGAAAGUGGAAUUCCUGGUGUAGAAGGUGAAAUUCGUAGAUAUCAGGAGGAACACCAGUGGCGAAGGCGGCUUCUGGACGGUAACUGACGCUGAGACGCGAAAGCGUGGGGGGAGCAAACAGG